AGAGUUUGAUCCUGGCUCAGAGCGAACGCUGGCGGCAUGCUUAACACAUGCAAGUCGCACGGUCAGCAAUGGCAGUGGCGGACGGGUGAGUAACACGUAGGAAUCUAUCCCGGGGUGGGGGACAACAGUGGGAAACUGCUGCUAAUACCGCAUGAUACCUGAGGGUCAAAGGCGCGGGUCGCCUUGGGAGGAGCCUGCGUCUGAUUAGCUUGUUGGUGGGGUAAAGGCCUACCAAGGCGACGAUCAGUAGCUGGUCUGAGAGGAUGAUCAGCCACAUUGGGACUGAGACACGGCCCAAACUCCUACGGGAGGCAGCAGUGGGGAAUAUUGGACAAUGGGCGCAAGCCUGAUCCAGCAAUGCCGCGUGUGUGAAGAAGGUCUUCGGAUUGUAAAGCACUUUUGGCAGGGACGAUGAUGACGGUACCUGCAGAAUAAGCCCCGGCUAACUUCGUGCCAGCAGCCGCGGUAAUACGAAGGGGGCUAGCGUUGCUCGGAAUGACUGGGCGUAAAGGGCGCGUAGGCGGCAUGUACAGUCAGAAGUGAAAUUCCUGGGCUCAACCUGGGGACUGCUUUUGAUACGUGCAAGCUAGAGUGAGGAAGAGGGUUGUGGAAUUUCCAGUGUAGAGGUGAAAUGCGUAGAUAUCGGAAGGAACACCUGUGGCGAAAGCGGCUCACUGGACCAUAACUGACGCUGAGGCACGAAAGCUAGGGGAGCAAACAGGAUUAGAUACCCUGGUAGUCC
rnacentral:rRNA from 1 species